CCCCGAAUAGCUCAGUUGGAAGAGCAUGAGACUGUAAAUCUCAGGGUCAUCGGUUCGAUCCCGAUUUCGGGGA
rnacentral:tRNA from 3 species